rnacentral:rRNA from 1 species
AACGAACGCUGGCGGCAUGCCUAACACAUGCAAGUCGAACGAGACCUUCGGGUCUAGUGGCGCACGGGUGCGUAACGCGUGGGAAUCUGCCCUUGGGUUCGGAAUAACAGUUGGAAACGACUGCUAAUACCGGAUGAUGACGUAAGUCCAAAGAUUUAUCGCCCAGGGAUGAGCCCGCGUAGGAUUAGCUAGUUGGUGGGGUAAAGGCCUACCAAGGCGACGAUCCUUAGCUGGUCUGAGAGGAUGAUCAGCCACACUGGGACUGAGACACGGCCCAGACUCGGAGGGGGGGCGGAAGGGGGAAAUAUGGGACAAGGGGGGAAGACCUAAGCCGGCAAGGCGGGGUGAGGGAGAAGGGCGUAGGGUUGGAAAAGCUUUUUUACCGGGGUUGAUAGAAGCAGAACCGGGAAAAAAACCCCGGUAAAACUCCG